rnacentral:rRNA from 1 species
ACUAGCCUAACUGAAAUCACAAAAUCACAAAUAGUGCUUAUUGUGAUAACGUAAGGGAAAAAAUUGAUAUUACCUUACUAUGAGUGUUGUCUAAAUAACUGGUGCCAGAAGACUCGGUAACACCAGAAACGCGAACGUUAGUCGUCUUAAACAGGCGUAAAGGGUAAGUAGGCUGCUUUAAAUAUCUAAAUUAAUCUAAGCUAAUCAAUAAUUUUCUAUUAGUUGCUUCCUAAGCAAAAAAAAUUUCAAAUUAAAUAUAUAAAUUAUAAAUAACACACUAAAAAUUGAAAUUACUUGUUUUGCUAAUAGAAGCUAGUUACUUAUAACAGCUAAUAUUAUAAUUAUUCUUUUCUUUUAAAUUAGAAUCACUUAAAGCUAGAAUCAUAAUUGAGAUAAACCAAAUAAUACUUAAGUGUAAGGGCGAUAUCUGAAAAUACUAAGUAGAAUACUAACGGUGAAAACUUUUUAUCUAGGAGUGAUUGACGCUGAGGUACGAAAGUGAGAACAGGGAAUAGGAUUAGAUACCCAGUUACCUCUCACCGUCAACGAUGAAUGGAAGUUGUUAAUUUACUAAAAAAAGUGACGAUGUUAACGCGAUAACCAUUCCGCCUUGAGAGUACGGUUGCAAAACUGAAACCAAAAAAAUUAGUCGGUCUCGGAGCAA